CAUCAGGUUGUGUUGUGAUCUGUUCAGUUGUAGGGUCUCUCUUGCCAUUUCCUUCCUUUUGGGCUUGUGAGGGAUGAGUUGGGUCCUCAUCACAGUCACUUUUCACACAGCCAGCAGUGAAUAUGGAGUCUUUAGUAUCAGUCUCAAACCCAUGAAUCUGCUCUUCCUCCUGACUGGUCCUGAGUUCCUCCUCUUCCUCUUUAAUCUGUAUGGGCUCUGUGUCCUCCGGUCCCAGACUGGGGCUCCACUCCUGCUCACAGUGCUGCUGCUUAGGGGGAACCUCCUCUUCAGAGACAGAGAGAGUACGCUGCUGGAGGUCUGGAGGAAAGGAGAAAGGAUGAAACGGAGAACUUAAUGCUGACAUUAUUACAUUUAGGCCUACCCGCUAACUUUAAUAUUACACUUACCAAAGUGUUUGGUCCUUUAAAAACCUGCUGUAUGUAAAAUAGUGUGCUUUGAAUUGGGAAAUAAAUCAAUGUGACUCUGGAUGACAACAUAAUGAUGUUUGUUUACAACAUCAGGGCUGUUUUCUUAAAGAAGUUACAUCCACUUCUUGUUUUGUUUACUUGCCACGGUACUAACGAGUAUCACUGAAAGCGAAGAUUCUCAGGAACAUAUGAGUCUUCAGUUUCCCUCUACAAUGCUCAUAAGUUGCACAGGACUCCGCACAGAAUGACUGGGGAAAAUAAUUGAUGCAAUUGUGAUUUUCUUUCUAUGAAAUUUUUGAACGGUUUGGGCUAUUGGCAAUUAUGACCCCAUCCCUGAAAGCUAAGACUCAGGAACAUACAGGUAACUGCCAACAUAAAGAGUCUUAAUAGAACAGCUUCAAAGCACCUUUGCAUAGAUUCUACUAGUGUCUAGAACUCUAUUGGAGGGAUGCGACAUCAUUCUUCCAUGAGAAAUUCCAUCAUUUGGUGUUUUGUUGGUGGUGGUGGAAAACGCAGUCUCAGGCACAACUCCAGAAUCUCCCAUAAGUGUUCAAUUGGGUUGAGAUCUGGUGACUGAGAUGGACAAGGCAUAUGGUUUAGUUUUCAUGUUCAUCAAACCAUUCAGUGACCACAUAUGCCCUGUGGAUGGGGGCAUUGUCAUCCUAUGCAGGCAUAGCCAUUGUAGUCAAAAUAAUGGGACAAAAUAAUGGCCUGCCCAGCAUUUUUAUUCAUGUAUGAUGGGAUGUUAAUUGCUUAAUUAACUCAGGAACCACACCUGUGUGGAAUCAACUUUGUAUCCCUCAUUUACUCAUGUGUUUCCAUUAUUUUGUCAGUUACCUGUAUAUGUGUCUUCUGUUUCCCUCUACAACACUCACAAGUCACAAAGGACUUAGAAGGGACUGUGACAAGACUGCACAGAACGACUGGGGAAAAUAAAUUGAUCUUCUGUUCUUACAUGCUGACCAGACCGCACAUGCGCCAUUGCGAGGAAGUUGAUUUUGUCCACCCACACCAGACGUGAUCAGGACACGCAGAUUGAAAUAUCAAAGCAAACUCUGAACCAAUUAUAUUAAUUUGGGUACAAGCAUUAAACAUUUAUGGCAAUUUAGCUAGCUAACUUGCUAGCUCAUUUGUCCUGGGAUAUAAACGUUGGGUUGUUAUUUUACCUGAAAUGCACAAGGUCCUCUACUCCGACAAUUUAUCCACAGAUAAAACGGUAAACCGAAUUUGUUUCUAGUCAUCUCUCCUCCUUCAGGCUUCUUCUUCUUAUGUGGACUUAAUAUGGCAGUUGGCAACCAAUUUUAAAGUGCAUUACCACAACUGACUGGAGUGUGGACCUCAGUUCAUCUUUCAAUCACCCACGUCGGUAUAUGCUCCUAAAAAACAAUGAGAUGGGAGAGGCAGGUCUUGCAGUGCGUUGAGCGUCACAAAUAGAACCAAGUUCUAUUUUAGCGCCUGGCUACGCAGACGCUCGCUCACAUGCACGAGCAGUGUGGGUGCAAUGAUUGAAUAACAUGUGUGUACAUUUAUUUUUCAACACUCGCGCCCGCAAUGCGUACGGGCUGGUCAGCAUGUAAGAAAGGUGAAAUACACAAUGAUUUCCUGAUGAUCCUUUGUCUGCUUUCCUAAACUUUAAAAUAUUUGUCUGAUGUAUUUCAAAUCACUUUAAAGCAUAUUUCAUUAAAUUGCUGUUUUGAAGCUAAUUUUCUGCUAUUCUACACAUUUUGCAAUGGAGCUAAGAGAACAUGUGCACUUUUAAAAGCAUAUUUCCUGCAAUUUGACAUAUUUUGCCAUGGCUUAUGCUAUCUGAGUUACUCAAACAUAACAAAAUCAAUGGAGGCCCCAUGCCAUGCCAUUUGGGUCAUUUUAGAUUCUAACUCACUGGUUUUUAUUUUGGUGAUUUUAUUUGAAAAUAUACAUACUUUAUCUAGUUUUAGUCGUUUACGUUAACAUGGUAAUUUUUUCCCAACACUGUUUGACAUACAUUAUAUAAACUCAGCAAAAAAAGAAACGUCCUCUCACUGUCAACUGCGUUUAUUUUCAACAAACUUAACAUGUGUAAAUAUUUGUAUGAACAUAAGAUUCAACAACUAAGACAUAAACUGAACAAGUUCCACAGACAUGUGACUAACAGAAAUGGAAUAAUGUGUCCCUGAACAAAGGGGGGGGUCAAAAUCAAAAGUAACAGUAAGUAUCUGGUGUGGCCACCAGCUGCAUUAAGUACUGCAGUGCAUCUCCUCAUGGACUGCACCAGAUUUGCCAGUUCUUGCUGUGAGAUGCUACCCCACUCUUCCACCAAGGGACCUGCAAGUUCCUGGACAUUUCUGGGAGGAAUGGCCCUAGCCUUCACCCUCCGAUCCAACAGGUCCCAGACGUGCUCAAUGGGAUUAAGAUCCGGGCUCUUCGCUGGCCAUGGCAGAACACUAACAUUCCUGUCUUGCAGGAAAUCACGCACAGAACGAGCAGUAUGGCUGGUGGCAUUGUCAUGCUGGAGGGUCAUGUCAGGAUGAGCCUGCAGGAAGGGCACCACAUGAGGGAGGAGGAUGUCUUCCCUGUAAUGCACAGCGUUGAGAUUGCCUGCAAUUACAACAAGCUCAGGCCCAGACCAUGAAGGACCCUCCACCUCCAAAUCGAUCCCGCUCCGGAGUGCAGGCUUCGGUGUAACGCUCAUUCCUUCGACGAUAAACGUGAAUCCGACCAUCACCCCUGGUGAGACAAAACCGCAACUCGUCAGUGAAGAGCACUUUUUGCCAGUCCUGUCUGGUCCAGCGACGGUGGGUUGGUGCCCAUAGGCGACGUUGUUGCCGGUGAUGUCUGGUGAGGACCUGCCUUACAACAGGCCUACAAGCCCUCUGUCUAGCCUCUAUCAGCCUAUUGCGGACAGUCUGAGCACUGAUGGAGGGAUUGUGCAUUCCUGGUGUAACUCGGGCAGUUGAUGUUGCCAUCCUGUACCUGUCCCGCAGUUCUGAUGUUCGGAUGUACCGAUCCUGUGCAGGUGUUGUUACACGUGGUCUGCCACCGCGAGGAUGAUCAGCUGUCCGUCCUGUCUCCCUGUAGCGCUGUCUUAGGCGUUUCACAGUACGGACAUUGCAAUUUAUUGCCCUGGCCCCAUCUGCAGUCCUUAUGCCUCCUUGCAGCAUGCCUAAGGCAUGUUCACGCAGAUGAGCAGGGACCCUGGGCAUCUUUCUUUUGGUGUUUUUCAGUAGAAAGGCCUGUUUAGUGUCCUAGGUUUUCAUAAACUGUGACCUUAAUUGCCUACCGUCUGUAAGCUGUGAGUGUCUUAACGACCGUUACACAGUUGCAUGUUCAUUAAUUGUUUAUGGUUCAUUGAACAAGCAUGGGAAACAGUGUUUAAACCCUUUACAAUGAAGAUCUGUGAAGCUAUUUGGAUUUUUAUGAAUUAUCUUUGAAAGACAGGGUCCUGAAAAAGGGACGUUUCUUUUUUUGCUGAGUUUAUACAAAUGUAUGUGGACACCCUCUAAAUGAGUGGAUUCGGCUAUUUCAGCCUCAACCAUUGCUAACAGGUGUAUAAAAUCGAGCACACACCCAAGCAAUCUCCAUAGACAAACAUUGCCAGUAGAAUGGCCUUACUGAAGACCUCAGUGACUUUCAAUGUGGCACCGUCUUAGGAUGCCACCAUAGGAUGCCAAGUCAGUUCGUCAAAUGUCUGCCCUGCUAGAGCUGCCCCGGUCAACUGUAGGUGCUGUUAUUGUGAAGUGGAAAUGUCUAGGAGCAACAAUGGCCCAGCCACAAAAUGGUAGGCCACCCCAAGGUCACGGAAUAGGACCGCCAAGUGCUGAAGUGAGUAAAAAUCGUCUGUCCUUGGUUGUAACACUCACUACAGUCGGGAGCUUCAUGAAAUGGGUUUCCAAGGCAGAGCAGCGGCACACAAGCCUAAGAUGCGCAAUGCCAAGCGUCAGCCGGAGUGGUGUAAAGCUCACCGCCAUUAGACUCUGGAGCAGUGGAAACGCGUUCUCUGGAGUGAUGAAUCACGCUUCACCAUCUGGCAGUCCGACGGACUAAUCUGGGUUUGGCAGAUGCCAGGAGAAUGCUACCUGCUCCAAUGCAUAGUGCCAACUGUAUAGUUUGGUGGAGGACUAACGGUCUGGGGCUGUUUUUCAUGGUUUGGGCUAGGAGUUCUUAGUUCCAGUGAAAGGAAAUCUUAACAGUACAGCAUACAAUGACAUUCUAGAUGAUUCUGUGCUUCCAACUUUGUGGCAACAGUUCGGGGAAGGCCCUUUCCUGUUUCGACAUGACAAUGCCCUGUGCACAAAGCAGGGUCAAUUCAGAAAUGGUUUGCUGAGAUUGGUGUGGAAGAACUUGACUGGCCAGCACAGAGCUCUUACCUCAACCCCAUCGAACACCUUUAGGAUUAAUUGGAAUGCAGACUGCGAGCCAAGCCUAACCACCCGAUCUCACUAAUGCUCAUGGCUGAAUGGAAGCAAGUCCCCGCAGCAAUUUUCCAACAUAUAGUGGAAAGCUUCCCAGAAGAGUGGAGGCUGUUAUAGCAGCAAAGGGGUUUUGGAUUUGAGAUGUUCGACGUGCAGGUGUAGUGUAUAGUGUAGUGUAUAUUUGUGUUAUUUAUAAGGCGCAUUGAGCUACUGUUGCUUCAGAUGUCACGUAUCUUUGACAGUACAUUGUUUACAGUUGUGCACUGUAAAUGUAGCCUACAGUUCUAAGGACGCACAAAGUUACUUAUUUUCAAGCUCAUUUUCUGUCUCAUGGGAUAUGGGUUGCGUUUUACAUGAAAAUACAUUUUACUAUCAUACCACAUUUAGCCCUCCAUUCAGCCAUGACAAUUGUAUGCUAUUUUCCCAACUUCAAAUAGCGAUUAGCCUACAGCUGUGCACCAACGGAGGGUCCAAGACUUAACACUGAUCAAUUAAAAACACUCACCAGAAAGUUUUUUUAAAACAGAAUCAGUUCUGAUGGCGAACAUCAUCUCAGCCGAGAAAAAAAAAAACAUGAUAUUAUUAAAAUAGUGAAAUGAUUUCAAAUUCCCAUCCCUAGUUAAUAGGGAAUUAAUGUUACACAGAAAUUGCUAAGUAUUCAGAAGAUUGCACUGUACUUCAGCACUGUAAAGGUCUGCCACAUCUGCCUCUGACUCUCACCAUCCCUAAAAAGUUGUUAUCAUUCAGAGCCCUAAUAAAGGUGCUUGUCAAACCUGAUAGAUCAAUGUCAUCACAAAAUGCAGCCUAAAAUUCACAUGAAUUAGCCAAUAACUCCUCCUUCAGAUAAAGGCCUACGCAACUCCUGUUUUGAGCACAUCAUUUGAUCAUAUGCUGAGGGUAUAAAACUAUGGUGUUCAACUUGAGCCAACAGUGAUUUAGCCACAACUUUUGAACAUGGUGUCAUUCUUUAAAAAAAAUGAAUGGUUAGAAGGGCAAUGGGUCAUGUCAAUUUUUGGGGAAAUGCAAGAAAUUAGUUUUAAGUGGCAGAAAUCUGAGUUGCGAUGAGUGUCCACCAACGACAUUGAGUCGCUUAGGGUCUAUACUUGAAAAUGUCCAUUCUUUAAUUAUUUAUUUGUACCUAUGUUUGUGCCGUAUAGCUGCAAGCUUUCCUUUGGGUCCUGAAAUCGGUAUAUUUAUUUUUAGUAGCGUUUUACCCAACCUCUGCCGAGGGAGGCUUUGUUUGUUAACGGAGAAAGAGCUGCACGAUGCGUUCUUUUUAGCAAGGGACACAAAAAAAAUUUAAAUCUAAAAAACGAUUGAUUCCAAAUCCAACUCUAUAACAAUCAGGACAAGCACAAGUAGGUAGUAAAAGCGUUAAAUAACAUUGGAUUACGGUGCGCAGUUUAAAAGUCAGGGUCUAAAUUUACUGUUGAAAAUUAGAAAAGUAGAAUAGAUAUAUAAGGUGUAAUUAAAAAAUAAAAUAAAUCUUGUUAUGUCAGUCACUGACAGUCACUCAAUUAGCCCAUGUUUUAGCUGGCUUGACUAAUUUACCAAUCUAAACUUGUAGUACUCAUUAUUGAAUUACCGACUGGGGAAGCCUCCAUUGAUUUUGUUAUUCACUGUCACUCAAUAUCAUAACCAAAAACAUUGCACACAUUUCUCACCACCCUAUGGCAAAAUGUGUAGAAUUUAAUGAAUUUAGCUGUAAAACUGCUAAUUGUUCUCUACGCCCUAUGGCAAGAUGAGUAGAAUUGCAGGAAAUUAACAACAAAAAAAGAACAUUCUCUCUGUUGCCUGUAUACUUUUCUCAAAAGUCACUAGAAAUUAGCAUUUAAAAUCUGUUUUUCAACAAACCAAAAAAGUCUGGGGGCUUGCCCCCAGAACCCCGUAGCAAAGUGUGUCUCACCCCUAGGAUUUCACAUUUUGGGGAAUAUUAACAGGAAUAUAUGGGAAAUAACGGAAAUAUAUGCAAAUUAAUAUUAACACCAUUUAAAUGCUUUUUACAUUGGAUAUAUUUACCAUCUCAUAUGGAGACAGAAACAUAAACAUUUUACCUUAUCAUAAGUAGACACAUUUGCAAAUGAUUAAAUCCUUCCAAUAGAAAAAAAUAUAUAUAUUUGUUACAAAAUUGAACUUUAAUAAAAUUAUAUGACUCUUCACAUGGGAUGAUUUCACUGAACAACAAAAGGGAAUAUUGAAUGAUCCCCAAUGAUCCAUCGCAUCUCCCAAAACGUUUUUAACAUACAUCUGUAAAAUGAUAGUCCAGAAACUAAAGCUUUGGUUGUCUUCCUCUCAGGCUUCACAUGUCUUCUCCCUGGACCUCAAUGUCCACCUCUUGACCAUCAGACUGAGGCCUCAUCUUCACUGUCACUUUCCAACCUUGUUGAGGAUGGCUCGUUGUCAGGCUCAAAAAGCCUCAAAUUUGCCCAGAUGGCCACCAAUUUUUCAACCUUUGUAUUGGUCAGUCUGUUGCGUGCUUUGGUGUGUGUGUUCUCAAACAAGGACCAGUUGCACUCUGAGGUGGCUGAUGUUGUUGGGAUUUGGAGGAUGAUGGAGGCAACAGGGGAAACAGCCUCAGAUCCACAAAGUCCCUUCCACCAGGUGGCUGAUGAGGUAUGUUGGCACGACUGCCAUAUUGCAUCUCCACCCCAAAGCCCUUGCUUGGAAGUGUACUUUGCCAGACUGCCAAGAACCUUGCCCUCAUCCAGGCGGCAAGACACGGUAGUGAUGACACCAUAGGCCUUGUUGAUCUCUGCACCAGACAGGAUGCUCUUGCCAGCAUACUUGGGUCCAACAUGUAUACUGCAGCCUGUAUGGGCUUCAGGCAGAAGUCUUCACGCUUUUUGAUGUAUUUCAGAACUGCAGUUUCCUCUGCUUGGAGGUAGAUUGCUGCUAUAACUUGAUGACCCUUCACAUUCCUAACCAUUUCCUUGGCUCUCUUGUAGAGUGUAUUCAUUGUUUUCAGUGCCAUGAUGUCCUUGAGGAGCAGAUUCAAUGCAUGAGCAGCACAGCCAAUGGGUGUGAUGUAAGGGUAGGACUCCUCCACUUUAGACCAAGCAGCCUUCAUGUUCACAGCAUUGUCUGUCACCAGUGCAAAUACCUUCUGUGGUCCAAGGUCAUUGAUGACUGCCUUCAGCUCAUCUGCAAUGUAGAGACUGGUAUGUUGUCCCUUGUGUCUGUGCUCUUGUAGAAUACUGGUUGAGGGGUGGAGAUGAUGUAGUUAAUUAUUCCUUGCCAACGACCAUUCGACCACCCAUCAGAGAUGAUUGCAAUACAGUCUGCUCUCUCUAUGAUUUGCUUGACCUUCACUUGAACUCUGUAUCCAGCAAAUAAGUAGAUAAAGCAUGUCUGGUUGGAGGGGUGUAUGCUGGGUGAAGAACAUUCAGAAAUCUCUUCCAAUACACAUUGCCUGUGAGCAUCAGAGGUGAACCAGUUGCAUACUCAGCUCGAGCAAGACAUUCAUCAGCAUUUCUCUGACUACGUUAAUCCACUGAGUCAAAAACACUUCUGAUUCCAGGAGGACCGUGAGCUGUUGCUAUCAAUAAGAUGUCUGAUUCAUCAUUUUCACCUCGAAUAGAAGUAGAGGGACUUUUGUCAGAGGUUGCUUGUUGUGAACGCUGAGGGAACUUUAUGCACUUGGCCAGAUGAUUCUGCAUCUUUGUUGCAUUCUUCACAUAUGAUUUGGCACAAUAUUUGCAAAUGUACACAGCUUUUCGUUCUACAUUAGCUGCAGUGAAAUGUCUCCACACAUCAGAUAGCGCCCGCGGCAUUUUCCUGUAAAGAUUAGGGGGGAAAUGAUAUAUUUAAAAAAUAUAUACAAUUCCAUGUACAGAUAAAUAGUUAAGCAGGUAAGAUAAAUGUUUUAAAAUGAAACAUGUAUGGAAUAGAGGUCGACCGAUUAAUCUCCAUGGCCAUUAAAUUAGGGCCGAUUUCAAGUUUUUAUAACAAAUUGGUAAAUCUGCCUUUUAGGACCCGACUAUGGCCGAUUACAUUGCAAUCCACGAGGAGACAGCGUGGCGGCUGACCACCUGUUACUCAAGUGCAGCAUCAAAAGGACCUUGUGGCUGCAAGGAGCCAAGGUCCCCAGGCUGCUCGUUAUGGUGCACACCUGUCACUAUCGUUACAAGCACCUGCGCGUCAUCACCUCCCUGAUGACCUUCCCUAUAUAUGUCUCUUCCUUUGGUCCCUUCCCCAGGCGUUAUUGUUUCUGUUCCUGUGUCAGUUCUGUGUGAUGUUCGUGUUUCUUAUUUUUGUAUUAUGUUGUGUUUAGUUAUUAAAAACACUCACUCCCUGAACUUGCUUCCCGACUCUCAGCGCACGUCGUUAAAAAUCACUAGUUAACUACAUAUGGUUGAUGAUAUUACUAGGUUAACUAGCUUGUCCUGCGUUGCAUAUAAUCAAUGUGGUGCCUGUUAAUUUAUCAUUGAAUCAAAGCCUACUUCAACUUCGCCAAACGGGUGAUGAUUUAACAAAAGCGCAUUCGCGAAAAAAGCACAAUCGUUGCACAAAUGUACCUAACCAUAAACAUCAAUGCCUUUCUUAAAAUCAGUACACAGAGGUAUAUUUUUUUUAAACCUGCAUAUUUAGUUCAAGUUAGCAGGCAAUAUUACCUAUCAACUCCCGAUAUUAGGCUGGCAAUACUAAAGUGCCUAUAAGAACAUCCAAUAGUCAAAGGUAUAUGAAAUACAAAUGGUAUAGAGAAAUAGUCGACGCGUCAUAUUUCCUAUAAUAACUACAACCUAAAACGUCUUAACUGGGAAUAUUGAAGACUCAUGUUAAAAGGAACCACCAGCUUUCAUAUGUUCUCAUGUUCUGAGCAAGGAAUUUAAAUGUUAACUUUUUUACAUGGCACAUAUUGCACUUUUACUUUCUUCUCCAACUCUGUGUUUUUGCAUUGUUUAAACCAAAUUGAACAUGUUUCAUAAUAAAAAAUAAAAAAAAUAUUAUAUUAAGUUAAAAUAAAAGUGUUCAUUGUUCAUUCACUAUUGUUGUAAUUGUCAUUAUUACAAAUAUAUAUAUAAGAAUCGUCCGAUUAAUCGGUAUCGGCCUUUUAUGGUCCUACAAUAAAUCGGUAUCAGCGUUGGAAAAUCAUAAUCAGUCGACCUCUAGUAUGGAAACAGGUGAAUUAACACUCCUCAGUUAGCAGGCUCAAGCAAGCUAAAACCCACAUGGUAGCAAAAAUUAUCUAGCUGAAAUUGUUAACAAGUUAGAAAUGAUUUAAACACUUUGCUGUAGGCUACUAUUUACUAGUUAACAGAAAAUCAUGUAUGUCAUAUAAAAUAUAUUCACUCCACCCAGUAUUGUAAUCAAAACUUACCAGAAAGCAUGUAGUCCUUGGCUUAGACAGUGUAGUAGUGUGGGAUCAAUAGCAUCUCAUUAGUGUGCAAGAAUCAGCUGUGAUGGAAGAGUGCACUGCACAUGUGAUGGAAGAAUGCACUGUGCAUGCAGAGGGUUGCAAUUCCAUUGAAAACCUGUGUUUACCACAGAACUUAUUUUCUGUUUAUCCAAAACCCAGCGGAUCCGACACCUUACACUUGAUUACAGCUGCACUACAGGGUUUGACAGGCCGUUAGCUUAAAUUAACACAGCGGAGCUGUCGAGAUAUGACUCAGAAAACAUUCCUCAAUCCAGGGAUGAGAAAUUGCGUUGUACUCGGAAUUGUUCCAUUAUCCCAAAUGUUACAGCGAGAUGAUUGAACAUAGCUGUCGGAAAUAGCAGUAAUUCAAUCUUCUCGUUGUAACAGUUGGGAUAACGGGACAUUUAAAAAAAAUUCAACACUCACAGCCGACGAAGAUAUUAACAUUUUAUAUUCAUCCAAUGUCUGGCAUGUUUUUGGAUGACGUGAUAACAUCAUCACUGCUCACGCUUCUCCCUGUACACACUGAGGGCUAGCGAGCAUGUGUAAACCAGAUGCAAUUCAGAUCUGUCCAAAAUAAUCCCAAUGCGUUUCUAUGGGUUUACUAUGGACCUAAACUUGUCGCCUGCCUUCCUACCUUUGUUAGGUCGAAGACAUGAGCAUCUCCUCAUUAUAUAAAGAUCUCUGUAUGGAGGUAGAUCAUUGACAUAAUGAUUUGAGUGUGUAGAAUAGAUUUGUAGUUGUAAACAAAAUGUGGGUAACUGAUCAAUUGUGAACAUGAAAUAAUAAUCAGUAGUUGUGAUCGCAUUCACAAAUGUAUUAUUUAUUCUGUACACCUGCGCAUGUCAAUUUUGUGUGCUCAGACUUUUGGCAGUGCUUUAGCGCCCUACCGUGACAAAAAUAUUUGUAGAUGUGCAAACAGCAAUUACUAAGGAGAGAGAGAGUAGGAGUUCUUGGAGGGACCUGUUUCUUCUAACCAAUCAGAUGAGGUUUUUAUAGACCAGCAUACUCUACACUGGUUGGUUGGUGACAGCUCACAUGGGCUGUGAUCGUCUGAAGGCAACCACCUGUUAAUUACAAUGUGCAUUACAAGGUUACCACUGAGACUGAUUGCACAAAGUCCACCAAAGAAGCCCAACUGUUAGCUGUCAUAGCAGGUAAGCUUAAAUGUAUUUCUUUUAUGGCUAGGUAGCAAGCUUUUUUUCUUCUUUGUAAUAUUUUUUGGGAAGCUAUAAGCCAUUGCUAUUAAGAGUUUGUAACUAGCGUUGUAGUCUACCUAAUCAAUUUCGAUAGCUAGUGUCAAAGUUAUUUUGCAAACAUUUUUAAGCUAGCUAGCUUGAUUCUGUAUGGAGACAUAGUUAGCUGGCUAGCAUCAUUAUAUUAAAAACAUAUUAUUCACCUGCUAAGACCUAGCAACUGACAUAAAUCCCAUGAUUUAUUGAUCACCCAGUUAGAUCUGGUGUUUUAGUAGAAGCAUAACUGAGGGUAGAAAAUAAUUUAUUUAGGGUUUGACAUUGUCAGCCAAUGUCAAAGCUAUCUAAACCGUUUACAAAUUGUCUGUCUCCAGGCUGAAAUCCACUCCCGAAAGGACCCCGUCAGCUCCACAAUGCCCCGGGGGAUGUGAAGGACAUCCAGAACACUCUGGCAAAAGCAUCAACACCAUUGAAAACCCAGUCAGCUAGCCUCAGCUGUGGAGAACCUGAAGAAUAUCUUCUCACGUAUGUUCAGCUGCACCGUUGCAUGCAACUUGAUUGGGAAUUAUUGUUGGCUUGCAUUGCAUUUGAUGUGGCACAAUGUAUUUGUGUGUGUAUAUAUAUUUCUCCUCCCUUCUAGAGCAGUGCCUGAGAAGGUGGCAAACACUCCGUUAAUGACAAAGUAUGAUGAACUGCUGGAGGUUCGGCACAAGCUGGUGAACCUGGAGUGCUCAUGGAAUGACCUCAUGUACGAUCACUACCGCAUGGGCAGCAAGAACCCGCACAACAUUAACCUAAUUUGAAACUACUUUGGCAAGGUGUAGGGCCUGUCGGACAUCCAGGCCAAGCAACUCUGGAUAGCGCUGCAGCGCGCCAUGUGCAAGGCUGGAGGCCAAAGUGAGCAAUGACUCUGCUGCAGUGCUUCCUAAAACAUUACAACACCUUGACAGGUUCUUCAAGCUCUACCAUAAAACUGUGUCCAUGAGGGUGCAGAGGAUCUGACAGCCAACAAGAUUGUGUCCCUCACCUGGGUCCUCAAUUAAUACCUACAAAACUAAGUCUGUACUGCCCUCUGUGUGGCUAAUGUAGCAUCAGUGAUCUGGGCACCAGUCCAAUCAUACAGUGCAUUCGGAAAGUAUGCAGACCCCUUGACUUUUUCCACAUCUUGUUACGUUACAGCUUUAUUCUAAAAUAAAAUAAAAAUUUAAAUGUCCCCCCUCAAUCUACACACAAUAGCCCAUAAUGGCAAACCAAAAACAGGUUUUUCUAAUUUUUUGCAAAUUUAUUCAAAAUUAAAAACAAAAAUAUUACAUUUACAUAAUUAUUCAGACCCUUGACUCAGUACUUUGUUGAAGCACCUUUGACAGCAAUUAUAGCCUUGAGUCUUCUUGAGUAUGACACCUGUAUUUGGGGAGUUUCUCCCAUUCUUCUCUGCAGAUCCUCUCAAGCUCUGUCAGGUUGGAUGGGGAGCGUUGCUGCACAGCUAUUUUCAGGUCUCUCCAGAGAUGUUCGAUCAGGUUCAAGUCCGGGCUCUGGCUGGGCCACUCAAGGACAUUCAGAGACUUGUCCCGAAGCCACUCCUGCGUUGUCUUGGCUGUGUGCUUAGGGUCGUUUUCCUGUUGGAAGGUGAAGCUUCGCCCCAGUCUGAAGUCCUGAGCGCUCUGGAGCAGGUUUCAUCAAGGAUCUCUGUACUUUGCUCCUGCUCCAUUCAUCUUUCCCUCAACCCUGACUAGUCUCCCAGUCCCUGCCGCAGAAAAACAUCCCCACAGCAUGAUGCUGCCACCACCAUGCUUCACCGUAGGGAUGGUUCCAGGUUUAACCCAUUUUAGAAUAAGGUUGUAAGGUAAUAAUGUGGAAAGUCAAGGGGUCUGAAUACUUUCCGAAUGCAAAAGUAUGUUUGUUUAGCCAGCCUGCAUUACAUGGGAACCACCAAUAAAUUAUAUAUUCUCUCUGA